rnacentral:rRNA from 1 species
GGGGAAUAUUGCACAAUGGAGGAAACUCUGAUGCAGCGACGCCGCGUGAACGAUGAAGGCCUUAGGGUCGUAAAGUUCUGUCCUAGGGGACGAUAGUGACGGUACCCUAGGAGGAAGCCCCGGCUAACUACGUGCCAGCAGCCGCGGUAAUACGUAGGGGGCAAGCGUUGUCCGGAUUUAUUGGGCGUAAAGGGUACGCAGGCGGUCUUUUAAGUCAGAUGUGAAAUCUUACGGCUCAACCGUAAUAAGCAUUUGAAACUGGAAGACUUGAAUCAAGGAGAGGAAAGUGGAAUUCCUAGUGUAGCGGUGAAAUGCGUAGAUAUUAGGAGGAACACCGGUGGCGAAGGCGACUUUCUGGACUUGUAUUGACGCUGAGGUACGAAAGCGUGGGGAGCGAAC